GAUGAACGCUAGCGGCAGGCUUAACACAUGCAAGUCGCGGGGCAGCGCGGAGUAGCAAUACUCUGGCGGCGACCGGCGGAAGGGUGCGUAACGCGUGAGCAACUUGCCCGCAUCAGGGGGAUAACCGGUGGAAACGCCGCCUAAUACCCCGUAACAACAGGGACCGCAUGAUCCUUGUUUGAAAGCUCCGGCGGAUGCGGAUGGGCUCGCGUGACAUUAGCUAGUCGGCGGGGUAACGGCCCACCGAGGCGACGAUGUCUAGGGGUUCUGAGAGGAAGGUCCCCCACACUGGAACUGAGACACGGUCCAGACUCC
rnacentral:rRNA from 1 species